UUCAACAAUAAAAAUUCUUGUUUUGUGUCUGAACAUAAUAAAAUCACGUAAAUGUAACGACUUCAACAGGUUACAUCAAUAUUUUAUGUUAACUCAACGUAAUAAAAAUAGGUUUAGACAACAACAUGUCCAGAGCUGAAGGUGGCAGUAAUGAGCAAAUUCACAACUUGGACUACGGCCCUGCCGCUUCUUCAGGAUCCUGACGUAAAGGAAAACACCUGUUCAUGAUGUGUGCAAGAAGGUGUUAGAGCAGAGAACUACUGGAAACGGAAAACAGAAGUACAGAGACUUGCCCUAAUGGAAAGUGUCCCAUUCUAGAGCUGAGAAGAGACAGCAGGACAGGGAAUCAUCUGCUAGUGUCGCGUCAGAUGUCUACAUGUCCACAAGUUGUUUAAGAAAAAGUAAGGUAAGAGGGAAUGAAAAGAAAUAAGAUAAAUAGACUCUAAGGUAUUUGGAGAUGCAAGGAGUGCAGCGUGACUUUUUCUAGUAGAUACGACUAUUGCAAACACAAGGCAAGAAGUUAUCAGAGAUGAACCCUUCCUCACCGAGUUCAAAACCAGAUGGCCUGCUCUCUUCUGUGUUUCUGAGAAUAAAUUUAAGAGGACUACAACAGUUUGCUGCAACAGUUCUUCUCCAUGGUGGAUGGUUAUUCUUCAGACCUGAAAACGGUGUUUGGCAAGGAUGGCGGCAUUCAAGGACAAAAGAUUAAGAGCAUCAUGGUUCCCAUAACCCAGACUAACUCCAUUGAUGUCAGAAGAGUACAUCCUUUAAGCCCAGUGUGUGUUCCUCAAUGAAGAUCCUGGCAACCUUGUGAAAGAAUGGAUGAUCGUGGACGCCUUGAAGAAGCCAUGAUAGAGACAAUUCUUGAAGUUUUUGUCAUUCACAAAGAUGCAGAGGCAGAUGAUGACCCUGAAGAUGUAGUCAUCGUUUCAAGUCCUGGAUGAGUUGGGUAGUGUCCCACUUGCUGUGUUGUUGUUUGCUCUUGUUAUAUGCUCUCAACCUCAGCUACCCUCCACUAAAAGUUGUUUGAAAUAUUGGCCCAAUGCUGUAUGUACAAUACUGGAUGUUAGUGACAUUUUGUAGCUGCCUUUGACAUUUGAAAGCUGUUUUAUUGUUUUUAUGAAGCUUAUAAAGUAUUCUAACCAGUCUAAA